CGCGUUGGUGCCCGCGUCUGGGGUCGCGCUCUCGCGCACGAAUCCCCGGAGUGUAUGCCGCGCCGCCAUGUUCCCCGCGGACGCAGGGGCGCCUCGCUUCCGAGAGGGCCGGUGUGGGGACGAUGGUUGAGCUCGUGGGCAACUGUAGGUAGCCGUCGUGCCCGGGGAGGCUCCGUGGAGCUUUUCACACCCGUGCCUCCGCCCGCCCUCACGCAGGCCUCGCUUCCUGCCCCGUUCUGGAGGUUGAGCCCCCGAGGCGUGGCGGCGCCGGCCGGUGCGGCGGGACGAAGCCCCGGCGGCGCAGGGUGCGAGAGGCGGCCCGAGCUGCCUGCUGGACCCGCCCGGCAGCACGCACGGCCGGCCUGAUGGUCUGCUGAAUGUGCACCGCUUAGUACAUCCCCGACAUCGGGCUCUGGAAAUGGGACAAAACGAGGCCCCAUCGUGUAAAACAGAAAAAAAACACGAACAUAGUCUAAGCCACAAAAGUGACCAAACAUCGAUCUGUCGUGGCUACUAACAGCGACUGCUCCUGCUUUACCGGCCGCAAGGGCUGACACCCCUCUGUGAACCCCUCUCUGGAGACAGUCUCUAAGAUCCCAUCUCCUAGCAGUCAGCUCUCGUGCUUCGAGUGUGGUCAGGGCCUGGGACUUGCUGUGGCCAAGAGUCUAGUGAGAGUGUCCGCAGGUUGGCAGGCACGUUGCGAGCUGGCAGUACGGAGAGGACCCCAGAAAGGAGCUGAGGGCUGCUUCCAGCGGACAGUCGGGAGGGCACUGAGGCCUUCGAUCCAAGAGCCCACAAGGAAAUAAAUCCUGCCAACAGCCGGGGGAGCUCGGAAGUGGAUCCUUCCCAGUCCAGCCUCAGAGGAAUCCUCAGGCCUGGCCAGCCCCUCGAUUGCAGCCUUGCAGGGGACUCUGUUGUGCCCGUCCUCCUGGCCUGCAGAAACGGGGGGAUAAUAGGUGGGCGUGGCUUUAAGCUGCUAUGUUUGUGGUGGCUUGUGAUGCGGCAGUAGGUAACUCCUGCCCCUCCACCACCAAGUCCUAUCAGUUUUAUACCGUGAUUUCCACCCUGACCUCCACCCUCACCAAGUCUGUCACUGAAUCACAGCCCCCCUUCAGACUCCCCCCGAGGCUUUUCCUCGAUCCCGAACACUUGUCUUUCUCAUGUGGGUCCCUUGGCCUGGAAUGCGCUCUUUCCCCUUCUCCAGGGUGAACUGGGUUCAUUCCUCGGAUUGCAGCGGGAAACCUUUCCUGAGAGCCCAGGUGGACGCCCCCUCCCUCUGCCCCCAUAGAGCUUCUGUCGUGGCUGCUGCCCUCCGGUUCCUUGUGUGAUUCUCCCAGUGAUGAUCGUAUCUCCCACCAGAGUGGAAGCAGGAGGAGGUCAGGAGCGGGUGGCCUUUGCACAUUACUGUUGGUACCCCCGCCCCUGGCGCAUAAUAGGUGCUCACAUGUAUUGGCUAGAUGGAUGGAUCAAUGAGCGAAGGACUGUGUCCCUGCCUGAUGCUCAGAGUGCACGGCACGACCCUCGCUACCCCACGAACGUCAGGAAGGUUGGAGCCAAGAAUGGUGCCUCCUGUGGGCUUGCUCAGGACUCCCCAAAGUUCACUAUUUUGCUCUUAGAAAGGGAUGGAUUUCUGAUUAUGAGACUUUAAACUGUCUAGAGAUGAUGAAGUUUCCUGGUGUCCCAGGACAUUAUCAGCAGCUUAUGUGGAAGAUGGAAUUUUCCAGUUUGCUGAAACAGUAUCUCCCAUCCCACCUGGUCUUCAAAAAUGAGUUCUUGCCACCCCCCGCACCCCCCCACCCCCCGUCAAGAGGUAGGCUCAGGGCCUCCUCCCCCUGAACCUGGGCAAGCUGUGACCACGUCCACGGAUAGAGAAUGGAAGAUAAGCCAUUAUGUGAUUUCCAGGGCUAGGUCAUAAAAGGCCAUGCAGCUUCUGUCUGAUUCUCUGGAGACAGUUGCUCAGGGGAGGUCAGUCACCAAGGAAGAAGUCCGGCUUUUCUGAGGCCGCCCUGCUGGAGAAGCUGCGUGUAGGCCGUGUUCAGCGAUUCCAGGUGAGCUCCCAGCCAGCAGCCAGCACUGACUGCCAGCCUCUCGGAGUGAAUCAUCGCAGACAUCCAUCCUGGUAGGACCCCCAGAUGACUCCAGCCAGCACCUGCGUAUGAGCUCAUGAGGGCCCCAAGCGAUGACUGCUGGCUAAGCCCCUUAUGAAUUCCUGACCAACAAAAUCACAAGCAAAAUAAAAAAAUGUUUUUAAGCUGC